rnacentral:rRNA from 1 species
CCUAGAAAAAAUCUAAGGUGCAACCUGCCCAAUGAUCUCUAAAGGCGACUAUAAACAGUCUAGAGAGCUUAAAAGGACGCAGUAACUUGACUGUGAUAACGUAGCAUAAUCAUUCGCCAUUUAAUUGAUGGAUAGUAUGAACGGUUAAACGAAUCCACCACUGUCUAAGAGAGAGAAUCCAUGAAAUUAAAAUAAUAGUAAAGAUGCUAUUUAAAAUUGUAAGACGAAAAGACCCUGUAGAGCUUAACUAUAUUUUCUCUUAAAUUUAAAGUUUUUACUUAAAACAGAGAAAACGGUAGUUUAGUUGGGGAGACUGCCUUAUAAAAAUAACUAAGGCAAGCUAAUGUUAAUAAAUAACUUAUUGUAAAAUAUAUUAAUUUAACAAUUACUACCGUAGGCUAUAAAGACCCGUUAAAAUUUGGUAAAGAAUUGAACGAAUAAUAAAUAAAAGUUACCUCAGGGAUAACAGAAUAAUCUUGUCUUAGAGACCUCAUCGAAGACAAAGUUUAUCACCUCUAUGUUGAAUUAAGAUAACCCAACAGCGCAGAAGCUGUUAAAGGUAGGUCUGUUCGACCUUUAAAAU